ensembl:lncRNA
CGAUGGGACGUUAAUCUGUUUCCCAGCUCAGGUGAAAGGAGGACGGCUGAUAACCUUGUGUGGAAGCCAGAAUAUAAUACAACAUAACAGAAUUUGGUUUGUCUGCCUUUAUCUUUUUUUCACCCUCUCACCGCCUGAUAUCGAUGCUCAGCAGUUUCCCUUGCUCCUGAUAAGUGAUGCCUAUCUUGGUAUUUGCCCAACACUUAACUCGGUUAAAUUGAAAUAUUAUUAGAAGCAACACUCCCCUCAAUACCUGAAACACAGCCAAACAUCAUCUUGGAAAACCUUGCUCAUCUUUCACCACUGCUUCAGAGUGUGACAAGGAAGCAUGGCCUGCACAGUUCAUCUCAGGAGCAUCCUUCCAACCUCAGCAGGAUAUUUACACCACCAGGAACAUCAGGAGGACCCACAACAUCAUUAAGGACAGUACACUCCCCUGACAAGAGAGGAAGUAACAUGUGAAAGCUGAUACUAUCUGCCCCUCAGUUUCAAAAACAACUCCGCCGGGAGACAGAGACCGAACAAAGGAUGGAAGAGCGGGAGGAUAAACGACAGAACAGGAAGUGCAGUUUUGAAAAAGGGGAAGAAGUGACACAGAAAAGAUGGAAGAGAAGAGCGAGAGACAGAGAAAGAAAAGUGUUUCUAAUCCUCCAGCCGGCUGAAUUUUCCCUGCAAAGUCGUCUAUUCACAUGAGACCAGCUUUAUGGUGUUAUGUAAAGACCUCAUGGAGUUAAGAGCCAUUUCUUCUAACCUCUGCCCUCUACCGAAGAUAUCAAGCUUGCAACUAUUUGAACACACCCCAGAGGCCACUCAGUAAGGAGAUUAUGUGUAUACACUGAUACAGAGAGCAUCAGACAGGCUUGAACUGGAACGACAGCUAAAAUGUGCAACUUAUUCUACAAUAAGCAGAAUAAAUCUGGUAACUGUGGGUAAUGUAACAUCAGCACUAGUUAAAGAACCUAUUAAACUUCAUGUAAAUUUAAACUUUCAUACAUAGAGCAUAAUUGGAGCAUAUUAAAUGAUAUUUUCUUUUCUUUUUUUUACUUCUGUGAUUUUCUUUUUAAGCACAUUUCACUUUAAGGGUUUAGAUUGAGGCCAUAUAAGGGUAUACAUUUUUCAAAAAAGUGUGUAUAUGAAAUAUGAUGGAAAAAACACAAACUUGAACAAACAUUUAUUUAUGCGCAUUUUCACUGACUGACACUGGCACUUUUUGAAGUGAUGCUAAACUGUACGAAAAUAAAUAAAUAAAUAAAAUCCCCUUCUCAAUAUCUCCGACUUCUGGUUUCUGAUUAAAUAAACUUGGAAUCUGACUUUGCCAGUGCAGAAAUGUUCUGUGCUUCUGUUGUCGAACUUCAGCUAAAGUUUGGUGACAGUUUCAGAGUUUUUCUGAAAAAUUACUUCAACGUUUCAUCAAAAAGGAGCUGCAG